rnacentral:tRNA from 1 species
GGGGAUGUAGCUCAGUGGUACAAUAUGUGGUUAGUGAGUACAAGACCCUGGGUUCAACCCCCAGCAACAUCU